GGAAUUGUGGCAUAGUGGGUAAAGCUGCUGGCUGGGAAGCACUUGGUCACAGGUUCUGCCCAUAUGGGCACAGGUUCAACUCCUGGCUACUCCA
rnacentral:tRNA from 1 species